UUUUUUCUUAUAAAAAAAAUUCAAGCAUAUCUUAUUAAAAUAAUAAAGAGAAAUUGCACAAAUUCCUAGACUUUGAGGUUAAUUAUUUUAAUCAAUUAACCCUUUAAGACUUAUUAAGUGUUGUAAUAAGCUCAUUCCGUUGUGUAAGGAAAUCAAUCGCUCUCCAGAAAACCUGUCCCCAGCAAAGGUUUGUACCCUCAUUUCUAAUUUGAUGAUCAUCUGAUGUUUUGAUUUAUUAGGUGAAUAUUAACGAAGGUUUUGGAGUUUAAUUUACUGCUUCUUCUUCUUCUUCUUCUUCUUCUUCUUCUUUGUGUUGUUAUUAUUUUUAUGUCAAGACACACAUAGUCUAAAUUGAAUUAGUCAUGCUACGUACGUCUUUUUCUUCUAAUUAAUUAUCAAAUCUGUUACGUUGUUAUAUCUCCCACCCAAUCUUCUUCCUUCCUUCUUCCACUGUCUCCCCUGAUUAAGAUCUCCGAUUCCAACCCUUCUCCCCACCCUCCGGCUCCGACAGCUAGAUUGCCAAUAUGAUAUGGGAAUUCAAAUAACUUGCCCCUUUGAACAACUAAUACAACACGGCCUUAUUGCAAUUGCAACACUUGAUAAAUCAUAAGAGGUUAUUUGAUAUCCAACUUAAAAUUUUAUGGCUGUAUUUGUACCUUAACUCAUAGUUAGCAAUUUUGUAUGUACCCUUUAAUUUUCUUGAUUUUUUUCUGCUUGAUCCACAUCAUCCAAAAAGUUCUUUGUAAAUUUAUGCAUUUUUUAGUUGAAUUAUACUUUGUGUUUGGCAAAUUUAAUUUUCAUAACUCUUUCUAUUUAAUCCACCAAAUUUGAAAAGUUAAUUGUACUACAGGACCUUUUUUUAAAAAAAUAAAAAUAAAAUUGAAGUUUUAAAUUUAAAGUUUUGUUUAAAAAAUAAAAUAAAUAACUGUGGCUUUGGUUUAUAGUAAUAUAUAAAGAGAUUUGGUUCCAUCUUAAUCUCUUUAAAAGUGUAGAUUUGUUAUGUAAAAGUAAGAUCAAUAAAGUUGUCCUGACUCCGUUUUAAAAUAAUGGGAGCAAUAUGAUCAAUAAUUUUCAUGUGGUUCAAAUUAAAUAGCCUUAUUUAUUUUAUGCCUUGUGAUGAGAGAGAGAGUUAAUUGGUAUAUGGUGACUAGUGGAUAAGUAAUCAUUUGGUGACCAUAAACUAUAUAUUAAUUUGCACACUUUCAGCGACUUAAAUUUGGUCCCUAUUAUAUAUAUAUUAUUAUUAUUAUUUGAACUACAAAUAAUUCAAACUCUUAUUUAUUUGAACUCCUUUUUAUUUAGUUCAAACUCCUUUUUAUUUAGUUCAAAUCUACGUGCUUUUCGUGCGUCCAAAAAACUCUUUAUGUCUCUUUAUGAUAACUAUGAAUGAUAUCAUACUUUUCGUUUUUAUUAUUAUUAUGGAUAAUUAAAAAGAUGAUAACAGGAUCAUUUACAUAUGUGUAUUUAUAAUUUUAAUGUAGAGAUAAGAUUUUAAAUAAGGUCAAAAUUGGAACAAACCUUUAUCGAUUAAUCUUUGUUUUUUUUAUAGAGAUAAGGAUUUGCAUUAAAGGAGAGAAGAGGAUUUCAAACACGAAGGCAUAAACAAAUCAACCAAAAGUGUUAAGGGUAAAAAAAACCAUAUUUGAUAAUAUAAGAUUUCAUCUUAAAACUUACCAGAAAACAAAAGAAAAAUAAAAAUUAAAGUAAUUCAUCUGUCUCUUAAAUUUCAUACUUUUAGCAAAAGUAAAGUCAACCUAAGAAUGGUGUCAUUAAAACUAAAUAAGUUAACAAAAGUAAUUUGGAGGGUGAAAAGAGUAAUUUUAAUAAAUUCAUUUAUUUAUUUAUCAUCUUUGAAAAUGACAUUAAUAAAAAAGGCCAUUGAGUUCAAUUUCCCUUUCCCUUUUAAAACGCCAACUUGAUGAAAUGAUGCAUUGGAUUUAGAAAGAGAGAGAAUGCUGAAAAUUCAAAUAAUGAACUUUAUUUUUUAUUUAUUUUUAUUUUUAUUUUAGAAAAACAAUAAUAAUAAUAAAAUAAUUAAUUUGUUGUUUUAAGUAGCUAAUAGUAAGAUAUUUCUUAUUUUUCCUUUACUCUCCAUUUUUCUUCACUUUUACACAUUUACAUCGAGCGCAUUAGUUUGAAUUUGGAGGUUUCUCAAAAACAACAUAUUUAAUUAAUUGAUUGAUAGAACAACGUUACAUCUAACUUUAUAUCAAGAUAUCAAGACAAUUAACAAAGUAAUUCAAGAGAUAAUAACACAAAAUAUAUUUGGUAUGUAGUUCGAUGAAUUACACACAUCUACGUUCAAUUGAGAAAAUAUGUUCACUAGAGUAUAAAUGGAUUACUAGUAUGUUACUUACUUUUUAAUAAACUAUUUAAGAUACGAGACAAGGUUAUUCUAAAUGAUCGUUUAGGCUCCUCUUUAAUAGUUGAUAUUUAAUUGAUUGUCCUAUGUAUAAAAGUUAGGUUGAUCCGAUCCUCUGAAUUUGAUCAAUUAUAUCAAUAUAGUCGAUUAGGCUCCCUCUAGAUGUAUAUAUUCAAAUUUCUCAAUGAAUAGGUUGAACAAUAUGUGAAUGGUGGCUAAUUAGUACUUAUUUUUUAGGAAUGUUCAUUGAAGGUAUCGUAAACCCAAACAAAAACGAAACCAUAACUGAAUAGAAUCUAAACUCGUAAUGUAUCGUAAUUGAACUUUUUUUUAAAAUUUUCAUUAUUAUAUAUAUACACACGUGGUAGCCUCGUUUUGUGUGCCAAAAUUAAUUUAUUUUCCUUUCUCGCUUCACUCCCCACUCUUCACGUCGGAUCCACUCUCUCUCUCGCACUUUGUUCACAUCGCCGGCAUCCCCCAACAGUCCAACAUCGUGUCGCUGGAAGGCCCACACUUUCAGCCACCACCGUUCUGACACUCUCCUUCUCACCUCCACCGUUUUUCAUUUCUUCUUCUUCUUCUUCUUCAAGACAUUUUGAGGAAUUUUCCAAUACAAUCCGCAACUUAAAAAAAAAACCAAAUCAAACUGAAUGGCAACAGUUGGAUUUCGACUCAAGUGGGUUUCAGCUUGGAACCGAAGGGAAUUGUAACAUGAGGUGAAUACAGAAGUGUACCAGGAGGAGUGCUAAAAAUGUCUCUAGGGAAUUGUGUGUUACAAGCGCCAAUGAGAGGUUAAUUUAAUGCAAAAACAAAGGAAGCGCGUACCCGGUAUGUCGUAGCGCCCUAGCUAAACACUGCAAGGCGAAAACAACAGCGUUGUGUGAUUAGUUUCCAAAGCACUAAAAGGCAAACUACAAAAUGUUCACAUUUACCUUCCAUAAUUCUUUCCCUUCCCACCCAUUCUAAAAUAUAGAACUUAUUAGAUUUGAUUAUGAAAAGUAAAUGUUUUAUUUUUUCUAUGAGAUGUAUAAGGGAUGAUUGUUGUUUUAUUUUG
rnacentral:lncRNA from 1 species